UCAAGCUAAUAAGAGCGCAAGGGGAAUGCCUUGGCAUCAGGAGCCGAUGAAGGACGUGACAAGCUGCGAAAAGCUUCGGGGAGCUGCAAAUAAGCAUUGAUCCGGAGAUAUCCGAAUGGGGAAACCCGGUACGGCAAUACCGUAUCAACGUGCUGUGAAUCAAAUAGCAGUACGUAGGGAACCGCCUGAACUGAAACAUCUAAGUAGGGCGAGGAAAAGACAUCAACCGAGAUUCCGCUAGUAGUGGCGAGCGAACGCGGAAGAGGCCAAACCGAAGGUAGCAAUAUCUUCGGGGUUACGGACAGACAUCAUGAUCAGAGGUAUCUAGACGAACGGCAUGGGAAGGCCGGCGAGACAGUGUGAGAGCCACGUAGUCGAAAGAGAAGACUGACAGUCUGGAUCCAGAGUACCGCAGGACACGAGGAACCCUGUGGGAAGUCGGGGGGACCACCCUCCAAGCCUAAAUACUACCUGAUGACCGAUAGUGGAGCAGUACCGUGAGGGAAAGGUGAAAAGAACCCCGGGAGGGGAGUGAAAUAGUACCUGAAACCUUGUGCUUACAAGCAGUUACAGCCCGUUAAAGGGUGGUAGCGUACUUUUUGUAGAACGGUCCGGCGAGUUAUAGUCACUAGCGAGCUUAAGACAUUCAGUGUUGGAGGCGUAGGGAAACCGAGUCUGAACAGGGCGAAUGAAGUUAGUGGCCAUAGACCCGAAACCAUGUGACCUAGCCAUGAGCAGGAUGAAGUGGAGGUAAAGCUCCAUGGAGGUCCGAACGCACGUUCGUUGCAAUGACCGGCGAUGACUUGUGGCUAGCGGUGAAAUUCCAAUCGAACUUGGAGAUAGCUGGUUCUCCCCGAAAUAGCUUUAGGGCUAGCGUUGGGAAUGAGUUUAGCGGAGGUAAAGCACUGAAUGAGCUAGGGGGCGCAAGCUUACUGAACUCUAUCAAACUAAGAAUGCCGCAUAAAUGCUUCCCAGCAGUCAGACUGCGAGUAAUAAAAUCCGUGGUCAAAAGGGUAACAGCCCAGAUCCACAGCUAAGGUCCCCAAUACAUGCUAAGUGGAAAACGAUGUGAGAUUGCAUAAACAACCAGGAUGUUGGCUUAGAGGCAGCCACUCGUUCAAAGAGUGCGUAAUAGCUCACUGGUCGAGUGAUCUUGCGCGGAAAAUUUAACGGGGCUAAGCAUGUAACCGAAGCUUGGGAUUGCGCAAUGCGCAGUGGUAGGGGAGCGUCGUGUACGGGGUGAAGUACGAUCGAGAGGACGUGUGGACUGUACACGAGUGAGAAUGCCGGAAUGAGUAGCGAGAAUUAUGUGGGAAUCAUAAUGGCCGAAAAUCUAAGGUUUCUUGGGGAAGGUUCGUCCGCCCAAGGUAAGCCGGGAGCUAAGGCGAGGCCGAAAGGCGUAGUCGAUGCACAUACGGUUGAAAUUCCGUAGCCACCUUAUCGAUCAAAGCUGACACAUGGAGAUAGCCGAACCCGGGCGUUGGUUGACCCGGGCGAAAGGGACCGAACUACAGUAGGGAAGUCGGCGAUGCUCUGUGGCGAGAAAAGGCGAAGAUAGGGUGCCCGUACCGCAAACCGACACAGGUAGAUGAGGAGAGAAUCCUAAGGCCAACGGGAGAAGGGUUGUUAAGGAACUCGGCAAAUUGACCCCGUAACUUCGGGAUAAGGGGAGCCUCCUAAGGGAGGCCGCAGUGAAUAGGCCCAAGCAACUGUUUACCAAAAACACAGGUCUCUGCUAAAUCGAAAGAUGACGUAUAGGGGCUGACGCCUGCCCGGUGCUGGAAGGUUAAGAGGAGGACUUAGCGCAAGCGAAGGUCUGAAUUUAAGCCCCAGUAAACGGCGGCCGUAACUAUAACGGUCCUAAGGUAGCGAAAUUCCUUGUCAGGUAAGUUCUGACCCGCACGAAUGGCGUAACGAUUUGGGCACUGUCUCAACAGCCCGCCCGGCGAAAUUGUAGUACCGGUGAAGAUGCCGGUUACCCGCAACUAGACGGAAAGACCCCAUGGAGCUUUACUGCAGCUUAAUACUG
rnacentral:rRNA from 1 species